UGGGGAAUAUUGGACAAUGGGCGCAAGCCUGAUCCAGCCAUGCCGCGUGAGUGAUGAAGGCCUUAGGGUUGUAAAGCUCUUUCACCCGGGACGAUAAUAACGGUACCGGGAGAAGAAGCCCCGGCUAACUUCGUGCCAGCAGCCGCGGUAAUACGAAGGGGGCUAGCGUUGUUCGGAAUCACUGGGCGUAAAGCGUACGUAGGCGGACCGUUAAGUCGGAGGUGAAAUCCUGGGGCUCAACCCCAGAACUGCCUUCGAUACUGGCGGUCUCGAGUCCGGAAGAGGUGAGUCGAACUGCCAGUGUAGAGGUGAAAUUCGUAGAUAUUGGCAAGAACACCAGUGGCGAAGGCGGCUCACUGGUCCGGUACUGACGCUGAGGUACGAAAGCGUGGGGAGCAAACA
rnacentral:rRNA from 1 species